UGUUUCAGAUCCUGAGAGAUCAAGUGGUGGACGUCCAGAGAGGAGAGAUCCUGAGAGAUCAAGUGGUGGACGUCCAGAGAGGAGAGGUGAGUUAAACAUUGUCACACAUUGCUGCUUUAUUCAUGUGUUUGAUUGUUUCAGAUGCUGAGAGACCAAGUGGUGGACGUCCAGAGAGAAGAGAUCCUGAGAGACCAAGCGGUGGACGUCCAGAGAGGAGAGGUGAGUUAGACAUUGUCACACAUUGCUGCUUUAUUCAUGUGUUUGAUUGUUUCAGAUGCUGAGAGACCAAGCGGUGGACGUCCAGAGAGGAGAGAUCCUGAGAGACCAAGUGGUGGACGUCCAGAGAGGAGAGGAGGUUGACAGAGACAGACAGAGGUGAGUUACAACAAGGAAAUGUUAUGUAUGGUGUCACACAUUGAAGACAGCGUUGUUGAUUGUUUGCUUUUGUGUUCAUGUCUUUUAGGAGGUGUCAGAGGAUGUGCUGUGGAAGCUCUUCUUCUUCUUCUUCUUCUUCUUCUUCUUCUUCUUCUUCUUCUUCUUCUUCUUCUUCUUCUUCUUCUUCUUCUUCUUCUUCUUCUUCUUCUUCUUCUUCUUCUUCUUCUUCUUCUUCUUCUUCUUCUUCUUCUUCUUCUUCUUCUUCUUCUUCUUCUUCUUCUUCUUCUUCUUCUUCUUCUUCUUCUUCUUCUUAAUGGAAUUUCACCUAAAUAAAAAAAAAAAAAAAAAAAAAAGAGUCCAAACUGCAUUGUCGUCAAUUUUUCUGAAAAACAAAGAGGAAAGUGUGAAGAGAGAGAAAAGUAGGAAAGAGGAAAAGAGUAAAGUGUGAGAAAAAAGCAAAGAGAGAAGAGAGGAAAAAGAAGAAAGUUUAAGGAAAGAACAAAGAGAAAAAGAACAAAGUGUGAGGAAAGAGGAUAGAGGAAAAAAGACUAAGUGUGAGAGAAAAGAGGAUAGAGGAAAAAAAGACUAAGUGUGAGAGAAAAGGGGAUAGAGGAAAAAAAGACUAAGUGUGAGAGAAAAGGGGAUAGAGGAAAAAAAGACUAAGUGUGAGAGAAAAGGGGAUAGAGGAAAAAAAGACUAAUGAGAGAAAAGGGGAUAGAGGAAAAAAAGACUAAGUGUGAAAGGAAAAAAAGACUAAGGAAAGAGUGAGGAAAGAGGAAAAAGAACAAAGUGCUGCUUUACUCUUGUGUUUGAUUGUUUCAGAUGCUGAGAGAUCAAGCGGUGGACGUUCAUAGAGGAGAGAUCCUGAGAGAUCAAGUGGUGGACGUCCAGAGAGGAGAGAUCAUGAGAGAUCAAGUGGUGGACGUCCAGAGAGGAGAGAUCCUGAGAGACCAAGCGGUGG
ensembl:lncRNA